rnacentral:rRNA from 1 species
GGGGGGGGGGGGGGGGGGGGGUGGCGGGGGCGGGUCGGACGGGGGGGGCCUGGUUGGGGGGGGUGCUCGAGUGGCGAACGGGGGGGGAAGACGGGAGUAACCUGCCCUUGACUGUGGGGUAACUUCAGGAAACUGGGGCUAAUACCGGAUCGGAGCUCCUGCUGCAUGGUGGGGGUUGGAAAGUUUCGGCGGUUGGGGAUGGACUCGCGGCUUAUCAGCUUGUUGGUGGGGUAGUGGCUUACCAAGGCUUUGACGGGUAGCCGGCCUGAGAGGGUGACCGGCCACAUGGGGACUGAGAUACGGCCCAGACUCCUACGGGAGGCAGCAGUGGGGAAUAGUGCACAAUGGGCGGAAGCCUGAUGCAGCAACGCCGCGUGCGGGAUGACGGCCUUCGGGUUGUAAACCGCUUUCGCCUGUGACGAAGCGUGAGUGACGGUAAUGGGUAAAGAAGCACCGGCUAACUACGUG